UCCUGGUUAACCCAGGCAGUCUCAUUAGAGUUCCCAGCAUUACCUGUUGGCAACUAAUGAUAAGGGUUGCGCUCGUUGCGGGACUUAACCCAACACCUCACGGCACGAGCUGACGACAGCCAUGCAGCACCUGUGCAGAAGUCCCGAAGGAAGACUCCAUUUCUGGAGCUGUCUUCUGCAUGUCAAGCCUGGGUAAGGUUCUUCGCGUUGCAUCGAAUUAAACCACAUGCUCCACUGCUUGUGCGGGUCCCCGUCAAUUCUUUUGAGUUUCAGCCUUGCGACUGUACUCCCCAGGCGGUAUACUUAUCGCGUUAGCUACGGCACAGCCAGGGUUGAGUCCGGCUACACCAAGUAUACAUCGUUUAGGGCAAGGACUAC
rnacentral:misc_RNA from 1 species